rnacentral:rRNA from 1 species
GAGUUUGAUCCUGGCUCAGAGCUAACGUUGGCGGCGUGCCUAACACAUGCAAGUCGAACGCGUUUUGGGGGGCAACCCCCGAGAUGAGUGGCAGACGGGUGAGUAACACGUGGGUAAUCUUCCCUCGAGUAUGGAAUAAGCUCCCGAAAGGGAGUCUAAUACCGUAUGACACCCCGGGACAUAAGUCCCAGGGUCAAAGCCGCAAGGCGCUUGAGGAUGAGCCUGCGUCCUAUUAGCUAGUUGGUAGGGUAAUGGCCUACCAAGGCUUAGAUGGGUAGCCGGCCUGAGAGGGUGAACGGCCACACUGGGACUGAGACACGGCCCAGACUCCUACGGGAGGCAGCAGUGAGGAAUUUUGCGCAAUGGGGGAAACCCUGACGCAGCGACGCCGCGUGGAGGACGAAGGCCUUCGGGUCGUAAACUCCUGUCAGAGGUGAAGAAUGCCCGCAAGGGUUUGACGGUAACCUCAAAGGAAGCCCCGGCCAACUACGUGCCAGCAGCCGCGGUAAUACGUAGGGGGCAAACGUUGCUCGGAAUUACUGGGCGUAAAGGGUGUGUAGGCGGCUGAGCAAGUCAACGAUGAAAUCCCGAGGCUUAACCUCGGAACUGUUUUUGAAACUGCUCAGCUUGAGGAUAGUUGAAGAGAAUGGAAUUCCCGGUGG